UCAGAUCUUAGAGCUCUAAGUUGAAACCAUUGUUUCAUACCUGAGCUAUUUGGUCUUGAUUAGCACUCGGGGACCCUCCGUGCCGUUGAUAUUCCGUGAUCUUUAGCAUUAUCCGGUUAUUAUACAAGGAAUCCAAAGCAAUCUCAGCAUGUGUGCUGUCUUGAGAUGAUUGUUGAUGCAUGCUACAUUUAGGAUGGACUCGUGCCUUAGCAACUUUAAAACUUGGAAGAUCAUAGUUGUACUUAUGUGAUUGUAAUAGAACAACGAGUUCAUUUAAUCAAUAAAACAAUAUUUA
rnacentral:lncRNA from 1 species